rnacentral:rRNA from 1 species
UACCAGCACCCCGAGUGGUCGGGACGUUUAUUGGGCCUAAAGCAUCCGUAGCCGGUUCUACAAGUCUUCCGUUAAAUCCACUCGCUUAACAGAUGGGCUGCGGAAGAUACUAUGGAGCUAGGAGGCGGGAGAGGCAAGCGGUACUCAGUGGGUAGGGGUAAAAUCCUCGUGAUCCAUUGAAGACCACCAGUGGCGAAGGCGGCUUGCCAGAACGCGCUCGACGGUGAGGGAUGAAAGCUGGGGGAGCAAACAGG